rnacentral:sRNA from 1 species
AUGGCUGUCGUCAGCUCGUGUCGUGAGAUGUUGGGUUAAGUCCCGUAACGAGCGCAACCCCUAUCCUUAGUUGCCAGCACGUAAUGGUGGGAACUCUAGGGAGACUGCCGGUGACAAACCGGAGGAAGGUGGGGACGACGUCAAGUCAUCAUGGCCCUUAUGAGUAGGGCUACACACGUGCUACAAUGGUCGGUACAAAGGGCAGCGAAGCCGCGAGGUGGAGCGAAUCUCACAAAACCGAUCGUAGUCCGGAUUGCAGUCUGCAACUCGACUGCAUGAAGCUGGAAUCGCUAGUAAUCGCGGAUCAGAAUGCCGCGGUGAAUACGUUCCCGGGCCUUGUACACACCGCCCGUCACACCAUGGGAGUGGGCUGUACCAGAAGUAGGUAGUCUAACCUUCGGGAGGACGCUUACCACGGUGUGGUUCAUGACUGGGGUGAAGUCGUAACAAGGUAGCCCUAGGGGAACCUGGGGCUGGAUCACCUCCUUUCUAAGGAAAAGACAAAAGUGGGUUAUGCGUUAUAUGAGCAUCGCCGUUCGCGAAUUCCUUCCCUAAUAUUAAAGAAUUUUGAGCAAGAAUAGUUGUAUCAAAACCACAUCUCAGGCGCGUAGCUCAGUUGGUUAGAGCGCACGACUGAUAAUCGUGAGGUCGGCAGUUCAAAUCUGCCCGUGCCUACCAUCUGUUUGGCCGCCGCUGGCUGGCAAUCAUUUGCGUUUAAAUAAGAAAUGCUUGUUUUGUUUCGUUCGUACGGCAAUGGUCGUUCAACGAGAUACGCUGUUUGACAAAGUUAGUGAAGACAUCCAAGACCGCGGGAUUUAGCUGUGGUGAUUUCUGGUUUACCAGUAAAUCAUGCAACUAAUCCUGCAAGAAUAGCUUGCAGAUCGCAUGUGAGGGCUUUUGCCUUUACGUACGGUCUGAUCAAGCGUCUCUAAGGGCAUUUGGUGGAUGCCUUGGCGUUGAGAGGCGAUGAAGGACGUGACACGCUGCGAUAAGCCAUGGGGAGCUGCGAGUAAGCUUUGAUCCGUGGAUUUCCGAAUGGGGAAACCCGG